AUGAUGAGCAACCCUAUGAUUAGGAAGUGUGUGAUCUUCAGAAUAGAAAAAAGUUAUGAGAAAUCUGUGUGUGACAUUAUAUAUACACACCUCUACCCCUAUAUAACACGACCUGAUAUAACACGAAUUUGGAUACAAUGGGGUAAAGCGGCACUGGGGGGGGGGGCUGCGCACUCCGGCAGAUCAAAGCAAGUUCGAUAUAACAUGGUUUCACCUAUAACGUGGUAAGAUUUCUUGGCUCCUAAGGACAGUGGGACCUUCAAUUCCAUCGAAGACACCCGGAAUGAGUGAAGGGCCCGCCCCUGAAGACCCAGAGCGCUGCCGGAAAUUCAGUAUUUCAGAGGCUGGAAGGUUCCUCUUCAGUGUAAACACCUGCAUGGAGUACAUAGCAGAAGAAUCACUGACAUCUAUGCCAAAAAUCACACAGGCAGUGCCGUGUGAAAAUAAAAAAGCUUCAGCAAGCAUAUCAGAAGACCAAGGAGGCAAACAGUCAAUCUGGUUCUGCCCCAGAGAAAUGCUGCUUUUAUGAGGCACUGCAUGCGAUUCUCAGCAGCAACCACAACUACCCCAAAACGCUCCGUGAAUACCUCACAGAAGCCCCAGGCAACCUCGAGCAACAACGAAGAGGACAUUGUUGAUGAAGCAGAGGAGGAGAAUACAAGGCAGGCAAGCGGAGGAUCCAUUCUCCCCGACAGCCAAGAAUAGUUUUUAACCCUGGAGCCCAUCCCUUAACAGGAGCAAUUGCUGGCAGUGCGUGAUGCCAAGGAAGGCACCUCUGCAGAAACCUUGUCCAUCAAUGCAUCCUCCACACUGGGAUAAUGACUUUCCCAGAUUAGAAGGCGGAAAAAGACGACUCGGGAGGACAUGUUCAGUGAGUUAAUAUGUGCCUCCGAGAGUGACAAGAUGGAGCUCAGAGCAUAGAGGAUUACACUGUCCAACAAUCUGCACGUGGACAGGAGAGCAUGCAGGGAACACGAGCGUGACAUGCAGGACGAGAUGGUGUGGAUUAUGAGGGAGCAAUCAGACAUGUUGAGGCAUCUGGCUGAGGUUCAAGAAAGGCAGCUGGAUCCUAGAGUCCCUCUGCAGCCUAUGUUGAACCUGCUGCCAUCCUUGCCAAGUUCCACAUCCUUCUCCCCCAAACGCCCUAUGAGGUGCUGGGGGGGGCGAGGGGAGGUUUCAGUAUCCCUUGCACUCAACAGCAGGGGAGGGUAGAAGGAUCAGAAGGCGCCCAUUCCCACUCCUUGGAUUGUUACUGCAGUGCAAAUGUAAGCAAUCUGUCCUUGUUUCCCCCCCACACACACCAGUGUUAUCAGCUCUUUUGCCCCAGGUUAUCUUACUUUUCUUUGCUAUGUGAGUUUUUGUGCAUAAUAAAAUUUAAGGGAUUGAGGAGAAAAGGCUCUUUAAUUCAUUCAGCACACUGUAGUUAGUGGGGGUGGAGUUUACAGGGAAGAAAAUGCAAUGAAGGAGACAGCUUGGUAAGGAACAACACAGAUGAUUCACAGUAAUACGACACUUAUUUCUGAAACUGGCUUUCAAAGACUCACGGAGACACAAAGCCCCUCAAUGUGCUUUUUUUAUUGCCCUGGUGUCUGGCUGCUCAAAACUGGCUGCCAAGUGAUCUUCCUCCACCCCACACCCAGCUGGAAACUUUUCUUCUUUUGUUUCAUAGACACUAUGAAGCACAGAGCAGGCAGCAAUAACAGUGGGGAUACUGCUUUCACUGAGGUCUAAUCUAGUAAGCAAACAAUACCAGCGCCC